rnacentral:rRNA from 1 species
UACGAAGGGGGGCUAGCGUUGUUCGGAAUUACUGGGCGUAAAGCGUACGUAGGCGGAUUGUUAAGUGAGGGGUGAAAUCCCGAGGCUCAACCUCGGAACUGCCUUUCAUACUGGCAAUCUUGAGUCCGGGAGAGGUGAGUGGAACUCCUAGUGUAGAGGUGAAAUUCGUAGAUAUUAGGAAGAACACCAGUGGCGAAGGCGGCUCACUGGCCCGGAACUGACGCUGAGACGCGAAAGCGUGGGGAGCAAACAGGG